rnacentral:lncRNA from 1 species
CGGUCCUCCUCCUCCUCCUGUUUACGCUGACACUCCAGCCCAGUACCAGUUCAGUUACGGCGUGAAGGACGACUACUCCAACAACGACUACGGCCACUCGGAGGACCGCAGCGGCUACAACACCCAGGGACAAUACCAGGUCCUGUUACCCGACGGCCGCGUGCAGACGGUGGAAUAUUCGGUCACAAAAGACGGAGGCUUCGUCGCUAAUGUCGUGGCCAAGGGAGUCCGAGCCUACAGCUAAACAUUCUCUAGUCCUCUAGCGUACGUGUGAAUGAUUUGUUUUAUAGUAUGUAUGUAAAUAAAUUUGAAAAGCUG